CACAGGCGUGUGGAAGUGACUGAAAUAGGUCUCCCUGGUUAUCACCGAAGACACUGUAGAUGCCCCCAUGAGUAGUAAAUACCAGCACCAUGUUUCUCAAAGCCCCAUUUGCAAUUUCAAUGCUAAUAAAGUGUUGCAACAAGUUACGAUUUGAAGAUAACUGCAUUUCAGAAACGGCACUAUUUGUUGGAAUAUACAGGAGCUUCCGUGAUUAUAUAUGUAUGUUAUACGUUGUAUUUUCACUAAAUAAAACUUGAUAAAUA